CUGUGUCAGAGUGCUGUGUGCCGGACGAAGCUCAGGGCGGCCCUGCGGGCAUCCGUGUCAGAGUGCUGUGUGCCGGGCGACGCUCAGGGCGGCUGUGCGGGCAUCUGUGUCAGAGUGCUGUGUGCCGGGCGACGCUCAGGGCGGCCGUCUGGGCAUCCGUGUUAGCGUUCUGUGUGCCAGGCGAUGCUCAGGGCGGCCGUGCGGGCAUCCAUGUCAGAGUGCUGUGUGCCGGGCGACGCUCAGGGCAACCGUGCAGGCAUCCGUGUCAGAGUGCUGUGUGCCGGGCGACAGUCAGGGCAGCCGUGCGGGCAUCCGUGUCAGAGUGCUGUGUGCCGGGCGACGCUCAGGGCAACCGUGCGGGCAUCCAUGUCAGAGUGCUGUGUGCCGGGCGACAGUCAGGGCAGCCGUGCGGGCAUCCGUGUCAGAGUGCUGUGUGCCGGGCGAUGCUCAGGGCGGCUGUGCGGGCAUCUGUGUCAGAGUGCUGUGUGCCGGGCGACGCUCAGGGCGGCCGUCUGGGCAUCCGUGUCAGAGUGCUGUGUGCCGGGCGACUCUCAGGGCGGCCGUGUGGGCAUCCGUGUCAGCGUUCUGUGUGCCGGGCGACUCUCAGGGCAGCCGUGCGGGCAUCCGUGUCAGAGUGCUGUGUGCCGGGCGACAGUCAGGGCAGCCGUGCGGGCAUCCGUGUCAGAGUGCUGUGUGCCGGGCGACUCUCAGGGCGGCCGUGUGGGCAUCCGUGUCAGAGUGCUGUGUGCCGGGCAACGCUCAGGGCGGCCGUGUGGGCAUCCGUGUCAGAGUGCUGUGUGCCGGGCGACGCUCAGGGCGGCUGUGUGAG
rnacentral:lncRNA from 1 species